CAGCAGCCGCGGUAAUGCGUAGGUGGCAAGCGUUGUCCGGAAUUAUUGGGCGUAAAGCGCGCGCAGGCGGAUAGGUCAGUCUGUCUUAAAGGUUCGGGGCUUAACCCCGUGAUGGGAUGGAAACUGCCAAUCUAGAGUAUCGGAGGGGAAAGUGGAAUUCCUAGUGUAGCGGUGAAAUGCGUAGACAUUAGGAAGAACACCAGUGGCGAAGGCGACUUUCUGGACGAAAACUGACGCUGAGGCGCGAAAGCCAGGGGAGCGAACGGGAUUAGAUACCCCUGUAGUCCCUGUCUCUUAUACA
rnacentral:rRNA from 1 species